rnacentral:rRNA from 1 species
UGAGCAACCUGCCCUUAGCUCUGGGAUAAACCCCGGGAAAACCGGGGCUAAUACCGGAUACGAGUCCGAGCGGCAUCACACGGACUGGAAAGUUUUUCGGCUAAGGAUGGGCUCGCGGCCUAUCAGCUUGUUGGUGGGGUAAUGGCCCACCAAGGCGACGACGGGUANCCGGCCUGAGAGGGUGACCGGCCACACUGGGACUGAGACACGGCCCAGACUCCGUACGGGAGCAGCA